rnacentral:rRNA from 1 species
AUUGAACGCUGGCGGCAGGCCUAACACAUGCAAGUCGAACGGUAGCACAGAGAGCUUGCUCUCGGGUGACGAGUGGCGGACGGGUGAGUAAUGUCUGGGAAACUGCCUGAUGGAGGGGGAUAACUACUGGAAACGGUAGCUAAUACCGCAUAACGUCUUCGGACCAAAGUGGGGGACCUUCGGGCCUCACACCAUCGGAUGUGCCCAGAUGGGAUUAGCUAGUAGGUGGGGUAAUGGCUCACCUAGGCGACGAUCCCUAGCUGGUCUGAGAGGAUGACCAGCCACACUGGAACUGAGACACGGUCCAGACUCCUACGGGAGGCAGCAGUGGGGAAUAUUGCACAAUGGGCGCAAGCCUGAUGCAGCCAUGCCGCGUGUAUGAAGAAGGCCUUCGGGUUGUAAAGUACUUUCAGCGGGGAGGAAGGCGAUAAGGUUAAUAACCUUGUCGAUUGACGUACCCGCAGAAG